rnacentral:rRNA from 1 species
UACGAAGGGGGCUAGCGUUGUUCGGAAUUACUGGGCGUAAAGCGUGCGCAGGCGGCUUUGCAAGACAGAUGUGAAAUCCCCGGGCUCAACCUGGGAACUGCAUUUGUGACUGCAAGGCUGGAGUACGGCAGAGGGGGAUGGAAUUCCGCGUGUAGCAGCGAAAUGCGUAGAUAUGCGGAGGAACACCGAUGGCGAAGGCAAUCCCCUGGGCCUGUACUGACGCUCAUGCACGAAAGCGUGGGGAGCAAACAGG